rnacentral:rRNA from 1 species
GACGAACGCUGGCGGCGUGCCUAAUACAUGCAAGUCGAACGCAGUGGGGACGGGUGAGUAACACGUGGGUAACCUCCCAUCAGAGGGGAUAACACUUGGAAACAGGUGCUAAACCGCUACUGAUGUAUGUACCCGCGGUGCAUUAGCUAGUUGGUGAGGUAACGGCUCACCAGGUCCACGAUGCAUAGCUGACCGGAGAGGGUGAUCGGCCACACGGGGACUGAGACACGGCCCAGACUCCUACGGGAGGCAGCAGUAGGGAAUCGUCGGCAAUGGACGAAAGUCUGACCGAGCAACGCCGCGUGAGUGAAGAAGGUUUUCGGGUCGUAAAGCUCUGUUGUUAGAGAAGCGGUAUCUAACCAAAAAGCCACGGCUAACUACGUGCCAGCCGCCGCGGUAAUUC